AAGGGGCCCCAGCAAACUUCCAGCUGCCAGCAAACUUCCAGCUGCCGGCUGAUGAUUGGCUCACAGCGGCCCCAGCAACAUCUAGCUGAUUGGCUCCUCUGCGGUGAUGCUCAUUGGGCUGUUUCCCUGCCCUUUCAGACCACGGAGCUGCUCAUUGGGGGACUUUUUUGGCUCCGCCCACGUGACCCAGCCAAUCGGCCUCAAGAGCAGGAGGAUUGUGGGAGGUGGAGAGAAGCUUGUGUGGGAGAGAGAGGCUUGUGGAAAGCCGGUGGUGGCAGUUGAGGCUCUGAGGGUUUUUCCUGAGAGGCUGUUUUGUUUGGCGUGUGUGGUUCUAAAAAUAAAGUUAGUUUCUUUUGACAAGUGGCUCCUGAUUGUGCCCAGCCAGACUGCGGCAACGCAGAAGGUCACACUGCUGCUGAGAGACAAAUGUCUCCCUCAGUAACAGGCCCUUUAGGCAGAAUUUUGUGGAAAGAUUUACAGACUGGUCAGUGGAAGGGUCCAGACCCAGUGAUAAUGUGGGGUAGAGGUCAUGCUUGUAUUUUCCCAGAAGGCGCAUUUCGUCCUAUUUGGGUGCCUGAACGUGCUAUCAGACAUGGAAGAGAUAGAACCCAGAUUCAAGCGACUGAGGAUUGACCCGGAGGAGCCCCUAUCCAGAAGGAGGAGAUAUCGGAAAAGGAUGAAAAAAGACCAGAUUGACCCAGCCGAAAAGCUGAUUUCAUGGGAAGACUUGAAGAAACUAACAACCCAGGCUUCCUGAAUACUUCGACACCUAGGAGAGAACAGGACCCCAGUGAUGAUGGUAGCAACAGUAAUUGCCCUGUUGGGCUGUCAGGUAAAGGGGGAUCAAGUAGACACUUACUGGACAUAUUUCCCAGAUCCACCCCUGGUACACCCAGCUGUGUGGACUGGAGAAUCUAUUCCAGUAUUUACUAAUGAUUCAUUCAUGAUGGGAGGAUUUACAGAUACUCAUAUUACUCCCAAUCAUGUGACUAGAUUUAAUUAUUCUGGCUACAGUGCCCAAUUACCUUUGUGUUGGUCACACGAUAAACAUGCUGGCUGUCUGAAAGUAUCAUUCGAAGAAAAGACAGCGAUUGGAAGACCUAGACUGACAAAUAAUUCUAUUUAUGGGGACUUAAGACCUUAUACUAGAUCAGUAAUUAAGAUGGGACUUUCCCAUAACAAGCCAGUCAUUUCUGCAAAACCUCCACGGAUGCCCCACUGUCCAAAUAGUUCUACAAUUGAGAUUGGCACUUUUCCUAGAUGGAUGGAUUGUGUAAAUACCUUUCCUGUACAACAUAAGUUUUCUUUAAGAAACAGAACAGAGAGAGACAGACAGGUAGAAACACAGACUCCUCUGGAGAGGAGGGGGCCCAGAGCUGGUGCUGGAGGGAUUGGGGGUGUUCUGCCCCUUUUAGAUUGUAGGUUUCCUUUCUUCUCAUGCCCCCUCCUCCUCUUAUCUUGCCUACAUGACCAAAAGGUGGGAAAGGGCUGUCCAGGGGGUGCUCAUUAGCAACACCUUGCACUGAAAGAAGCAAUUCCCUGGAGGCAGAGGUAACCUUGGUAACAAGUUGUGAGGAGGGGGAAGUGCUCUGGAGGUAUUAGCAUUUUAUUUCCUUUUGAAUUAGCCCCCAUCUUUCCAAACAAUCAUCCAUUACCUACACUAUCUGUUCUUUGCCCUGGUCUCAGCAUCAUCAGUGUAUUAGUCCACUGAUGGCUGAAUGGACUACUGGGAGGUGGAACCCAGUUGGAGGAAGUAGGUCCCUGGGGUCAUGCCCCAGAAGGCUUUGUCUUCUCUCUGGCCCCUUCCUCUCUUUUUCUGCUUCCAUGAUGUCAUGAGCUGAGAGCAUUCCUCUACUGCACCCUUCCAUAGCUGCCUUGGAGCCAAUUGUGUACUGAAUCCUCCGAAACUAUGAGUCAAAAUAAAUCUUUCCUCCUCUAAGUUGUUUCUGUCAGAUAUUUUGGUCACAGUAAUACAAAGCUGGUAAACACAAUGACAACUUUUUUUUCUUUUAAGACUCCAAGGCAUGUGAGUGCUUUUAUUUAGAUGGAAAAUACCAGGUAAGUAGUUCAAGUGGAACCUAGAUGGAAACUUCUAAAGUGUAAGUAGUAAACAGAGGCAGCUCAGCAAGCCAGCUCCUGGCUGUGGUGUCAUUCAUUCAUCAAAUAUUUACUGAGUAUCUGUGCUGUUCCUGUCACUGGGCUGGUCUAUAAAAAUGGACUGGGCACCAUUCCUCCAAGGACUCACAAUCUAGAGGGAGCUACAGAAUUCAUGGAAAUAAAUACAGCAUAAACUAUAUCAUUUCCAACAGGGAAGUUAUGUUCCAAAUUGAAUCAUGUGCAGUGAAAGUUUACUAUAGCAAGUCCUUGAAGCUGUCACCAAGGAAAAACCUAAAUAAACCCUAUAGUUCCACUUUUUAAGUAAAUUGUUUGUCGCACUAACUUAAAAAUCACUAAUUUUGGAGGUGACACAGCCAGGCAAUACAUUAUCAGUCUCCCACUAGUUUGCAGUAGAUCACUCCCUGGACAUGUGGGUCACCAUGCUGAUGGCCGCCUAGGCCAUGCCUCAGGCAUUUGAAGUCCACUCUUGUUGAAAACACUGCCUCAUCACUUGGACCUAAAGAUGCCCCAUGUUGACUGGAACAGGAUGAAGGACUUGGCAUCUCUGUCUUCACACCAUGUCUGUCUCCUUUGUUGCCUUAACUUUUGGGUCAGAUUCUACUUGGACCCAUUAAAUGUUUGAGAAAAGUUUUUUGUCCAGAACUAUAAUGCAGAAUUAACUUGAUCUAAACUUUCUUUCUCUCCACUCCCUUCCCCUCUUCAUAGAAAAAGACACCAGCUACCAUGAUGAAAAACACAACAAUGAAAGGAGUGAAAAUAGGUAGCAACCAAGUUCCAGGAAACUCUCUGCCUGUUCCCAGAAAAGAAAAAAACUAUUCCUGCUCUUUCUCAGCCCAUCACUGUUCCUAUCCUACAUCUGUAGCCCUCAAUCCCCUGGAGUGGAGAAACUGAUUGUGAGCAAAGCUCCCUCUUCAUUUUUAAUCACUGAAUAAAGGCUUCCUCCCUGCAGAAGACAGGAUUGAACCCAGUGGGGGCUAAUCAUCAAGCCACAUCCCCAGCCCUUUUACAUUUUUAUUUUGAGAGACAGAGUCUUGCCAAAUUGUUUAGAGCCUUGCUAAGUUGCUGAGUCUGGACUUGAACUUGCAAUUUAGCCUGCCUCAAAAUCUGCCUCAGCCCCCCAAGUCAUUAGGAUUACAGGUGCACACCACCAGGCCAGGUUGAAUAAGGCCUUUCCUUCCCCACAACACUCAUCUCUCAGACAUUGGUCUUUCCAAAGAAUGAGCCUCCCAACCUGGAAUCUUCAUUCCCCUUCCCUGAAUGCAGCAUAAUUAAUUUUGUAGGUCAGAAGCACAGCUCAGGAGGCUGAGGCAAGAGGACCACAAGUUCAAGGCCAGCCUGGACAACUUAGUGAGGCCCUUUCUUGAAGGAUAUGGGAAAAAUAACCCCCAGGGAGAAAGGGAGAACAAUGGGUCCCAGGGAGAGAAGGAAAAUAAUGGGCUCUGGACUUUCACCAUUUCCCAGCAACAACCGGCUCUGAAGCUCCUGACUUCCUGUUCUACACCUGUCUCCCUGAUGCCCAACCAACAGGCUCUGCCUUGAUUAAGUGUCUGUGAUUAAGGCUGAGUACACAUUCAGCCAUGAUGAUUAAGUCUCACUUAAUUCUACAGAAAUCAGACCUCUAUUG
rnacentral:lncRNA from 1 species